rnacentral:rRNA from 1 species
CCCUUAGAUGUCCGGGGCUGCACGCGCGCUACACUGAAGGAAUCAGCGUGCUAAAACCAUUGUCGAAAGGCAUUGGUAAACCCAUUAAAAUCCUACGUGAUUGGGAUCGGGAAUUGCAAUUAUUUCCCUUGAACGAGGAAUUCCCAGUAAGUGUGGGUCAUAAGCUCGCGUUGAUUACGUCCCUGCCCUUUGUACACACCGCCCGUCGCUGCCCGGGACUUAGCCGUUUCGAGAAAAGCGGGGACUGCUGCUGUCGGGGCUUUCGGGCCUUGGCUUCGGUGGAAACCGCUUUAAUCGCAGUGGCUUGAACCGGGCAAAAGUCGUAACA